AUUGCCUCAGUAGCGGCGAGUGAAGCGGCAAAAGCUCAAAUUUGAAAUCUGGCGUCUUUGGCGUCCGAGUUGUAAUUUGAAGAAGGUAUCUUUGGGCCCGGCUCUUGUCUAUGUUCCUUGGAACAGGACGUCACAGAGGGUGAGAAUCCCGUGCGAUGAGAUGACCCGGGUCUGUGUAAAGUUCCUUCGACGAGUCGAGUUGUUUGGGAAUGCAGCUCUAAGUGGGUGGUAAAUUCCAUCUAAAGCUAAAUAUUGGCGAGAGACCGAUAGCGAACAAGUACAGUGAUGGAAAGAUGAAAAGAACUUUGAAAAGAGAGUGAAAAAGUACGUGAAAUUGUUGAAAGGGAAGGGCUUGAGAUCAGACUUGGUAUUUUGCAUGCUGCUCUCUCGGGGGCGGCCGCUGCGGUUUACCGGGCCAGCAUCGGUUUGGAGCGGCAGGAUAAUGGCGGAGGAAUGUGGCACGGCUUCUGCUGUGUGUUAUAGCCUCUGACGAUACUGCCAGCCUAGACCGAGGACUGCGGUUUUUACCUAGGAUGUUGGCAUAAUGAUCUUAAGUCGCCCGUCUU
rnacentral:rRNA from 1 species